GACGAACGCUAGCGGCGUGCCUAAUACAUGCAAGUAGAACGCACAGUUUAUACCGUAGCUUGCUACACCAUAGACUGUGAGUUGCGAACGGGUGAGUAACGCGUAGGUAACCUGCCUGGUAGCGGGGGAUAACUAUUGGAAACGAUAGCUAAUACCGCAUAAUAUUAAUUAUUGCAUGAUAAUUAAUUGAAAGGUGCAAUUGCACCACUACCAGAUGGACCUGCGUUGUAUUAGCUAGUAGGUGAGGUAACGGUUCACCUAGGCGACGAUACAUAGCCGACCUGAGAGGGUGAUCGGCCACACUGGGACUGAGACACGGCCCAGACUCCUACGGGAGGCAGCAGUAGGGAAUCUUCGGCAAUGGACGAAAGUCUGACCGAGCAACGCCGCGUGAGUGAAGAAGGUUUUCGGAUCGUAAAGCUCUGUUGUAAGAGAAGAACGGGUGUGAGAGUGGAAAGUUCACACUGUGACGGUAUCUUACCAGAAAGGGACGGCUAACUACGUG
rnacentral:rRNA from 1 species